rnacentral:tRNA from 1 species
GAUCUUAUAGUUUAUUUAAAAUUUUAAAUUGCAAAUUUAUUGAUAAUAGUUAUUAUUUAAGAUCU